GCCGGUGUGGCGGAAUUGGCAGACGCACCGCACUCAAAAUGCGGCGGAGACAAUCCAUGCCGGUUCGAGUCCGGCCACCGGCACCA
rnacentral:tRNA from 1 species